CAGCAGCCGCGGUAAUACGAAGGGGGCUAGCGUUGUUCGGAUUUACUGGGCGUAAAGCGCACGUAGGCGGAUCGAUCAGUCAGGGGUGAAAUCCCAGAGCUCAACUCUGGAACUGCCUUUGAUACUGUCGAUCUGGAGUAUGGAAGAGGUGAGUGGAAUUCCGAGUGUAGAGGUGAAAUUCGUAGAUAUUCGGAGGAACACCAGUGGCGAAGGCGGCUCACUGGUCCAUUACUGACGCUGAGGUGCGAAAGCGUGGGGAGCAAACAGGAUUAGAUACCCGGGUAGUCCCUGUCUCUUAUAC
rnacentral:rRNA from 1 species